GAUGAACGCUGGCGGCGUGCCUAAUACAUGCAAGUCGAGCGAACGGACGAGAAUCUUUCUUCUCUGUUGUUAGCGGCGGACGGGUGAGUCACACGUGGAUUACCUUUCUAUAUGACUUGGAUAACUUCGGGAAACCGUAGCUCAUACCGGAUAAUAUUUUGAACCGCAUGGUUCAAAAGUGAAAUAUGGUCUUGCUGUCACUUAUAGAUGUAUCCGCGCUGCAUUAGCUAGUUGGUAAGGUAACGGCUUACCAAGUCAACGAUGGAUAGCCGACCUGAGAGGGUGAUAGGCCACACGGGAAGGGAGACACGGACCAGGCGACUAAGGGAGGGAGCAGAAGGGAAUGUUAGGCAGUAGGCGAGAGCAUGACGGAGAAACGGCGAGUGAGUGAUGAAGGUGUUCGGAUAGUAAAACUCUGUUAUUAGGGAAGAACAUAUGUGUGAGGAAAAGUGCACAUAGUGACGGUACCUAAACAGAAAGCAACGGCUAACUACGUG
rnacentral:rRNA from 1 species